rnacentral:lncRNA from 1 species
UCAAGUAGGAGCAAACUGUCCUGAAGAAAUUUUGGCCGGAAAGUACUGUAGCUGCCGGAAAAUUCAAUAAAGUCGCCGGAAUAAACUAAAAGUUGUCGAAAUCGAACGAAACAAGCAUGGGUAGGGUCGGAAUUGUAUUCCGACCAAACUGUCCUUCUGGAGCGAUCGGAAAAAGUGGCCGGAAAGGCCCUCACGCGCCGGCGCGUGGUCUGACGCGCCGACAGCUGUGGCGGCGCGUGUGGAGGUAUCUGCCGGAGAAAUUUCUGGGGUUUGGUCGGAAUUAUAUUCCGUUAUAUUCCGAGUCUUGUGG